rnacentral:rRNA from 1 species
AGUGAACGCUGGCGGCAGGCCUAACACAUGCAAGUCGAACGGCAGCACAGGAGAGCUUGCUCUCUGGGUGGCGAGUGGCGGACGGGUGAGGAAUACAUCGGAAUCUACCUUUUCGUGGGGGAUAACGUAGGGAAACUUACGCUAAUACCGCAUACGACCUUAGGGUGAAAGCGGAGGACCUUCGGGCUUCGCGCGGAUAGAUGAGCCGAUGUCGGAUUAGCUAGUUGGCGGGGUAAAGGCCCACCAAGGCGACGAUCCGUAGCUGGUCUGAGAGGAUGAUCAGCCACACUGGAACUGAGACACGGUCCAGACUCCUACGGGAGGCAGCAGUGGGGAAUAUUGGACAAUGGGCGCAAGCCUGAUCCAGCCAUGCCGCGUGGGUGAAGAAGGCCUUCGGGUUAUAAAGCCCUUUUGUUGGGAAAGAAAAGCAGCCGGUUAAUACCCGGUUGUUCUGACGGUACCCAAAGAAUAAGCACCGGCUAACUUCGUGCCAGCCGCCGCCGUAA